rnacentral:rRNA from 1 species
GACGACGAGGUAGAUAGGUUGGAGGUGGAAGUGCAGCAAUGCAUGGAGCUGACCAAUACUAAUCGGUCGAGGGCUUAUCCAAUAA